rnacentral:lncRNA from 1 species
AUAGAUGUCAAUACGUAAUUGACUGGGAGGAGCGCAAUGACAGCAAGGAUAGAUAUUCUCUGAACACGUUAAAAAGCUACUCAUUAACAACUUCAGCCCCAAAAUGUAAAAACGUUGCAGUCAUACUUCCCUUGCUCUCCUGGCCCUCAUUUAAAGAAAAAACAAAAUCUAACAUAUCUGAAUGUGUCACUCCAGGAACUGAACUGUACUUAAAAUAAAUAUAUCCAUCAGUUUUUCUUUUCUUUUUCAGCCACAAGCGGAUCCGGUCCGUAAAGAACUAGGAAAUAGAUAUUUUAAUACGUGGCUGCAGGUGCUGCAAUUUACCGAGUAAUCGCGCUGAAGAGACCACGAAUGCGUGCUCGAUGCCGGGAAACAAAGGCCUCUGUAAAAAUCACCCCGCGGUUCUCCUGGUCCAGUCGUCCAUGAAUGAUUCUACCCAAACGCUUGGAUAAAGCCUGUGUCAGGAAGUCUCCUGGAAGGUCAUAUGCUUUGCAGAGUUCUGAUAUUGUCACCUGGCCAGUUUCCUGUAGUUUAUCAUUUAUUUCUUCUGCUAAUUGAUCUAGGUAACUCUCAUUUAUAAGCUGUCCCAGCACAAGCUGAACAGCUUUGUCCGAUUUAACGAUAUCGUUAGCUCUAUUUUCAAUGUGCAGAAGGUCCACAUUUAUUAUCUGUUGUAAGUCAACAAUGUUUAUUCGACCACCACAAACACUGAGCUCAUCCCAGAUCUCCUUACUGAUCUGUGCUGGAGUGACAUAUUCUUUUCCAUCCAACGUAUGCACCACUUCCAACUGCUUUUCUGCAAUUAGUUUAGUGACAAUUUCUAUACAGUUCCGCUCUGACAAUCUGGCAAUAACACAAAGAACAACCAGUUAUUCUAAGGACCUGCCAAGUUCAACACACGUUUUGACAAUUCUAUGCACAGAGAAGAAAACGACUGCUUUGCGUUCUGUGUACUAAAUACAUUUAUGAUGAGAAAAACCU